GGUGAACGCUGGCGGCGUGCUUAAGACAUGCAAGUCGAACGGCAGUCUUCGGACUGUAGUGGCGCACGGGUGAGUAACGCGUAACUGACCUACCCCAAAGUCGCGGAUAACGAUUCGAAAGAAUCGCUAAUACGUGAUGUGCUGUCAGAGUGUGUUCUGCCAGUAAAGAUUGAUUGCUUUGGGAUGGGGUUGCGUUCCAUCAGCUAGUUGGUGGGGUAAAGGCCCACCAAGGCGACGACGGAUAGCCGGCCUGAGAGGGUGGCCGGCCACAGGGGCACCGAGACACGGGUCCCACUCCUACGGGAGGCAGCAGUUAGGAAUCUUCCACAAUGGGCGAAAGCCUGAUGGAGCGACGCCGCGUGAGGGAUGAAGGUCUUCGGAUCGUAAACCUCUGAAUCAGGGACGAAAGACACUUCGGUGGGAUGACGGUACCUGAGUAAUAGCACCGGCUAACUCCGUGCCAGCCGCCGCAGUAAUAC
rnacentral:rRNA from 1 species